rnacentral:rRNA from 1 species
GGAUAACACUUAGAAAUAGGUGCUAAUACCGCAUAAGCGCACAGCUUCCCAUGAAGGAGUGUGAAAAACUGAGGUGGUAUAUGAUGGAUCCGCGUCUGAUUAGCCAGUUGGUGAGGUAACGGCUCACCAAAGCGACGAUCAGUAGCCGGCCUGAGAGGGCGGACGGCCACAUUGGGACUGAGACACGGCCCAGACUCCUGCGGGAGGCAGCAGUGGGGGAUAUUGCACAAUGGGGGAAACCCUGAUGCAGCGACGCCGCGUGAGUGAAGAAGUAAUUCGUUACGUAAAGCUCUAUCAGCAGGGAAGAAAAUGACGGUACCUGACUAAGAAGCCCCGGCUAACUACGUGCCAGCAGCCGCGGUAAUACGUAGGGGGCAAGCGUUAUCCGGAAUUACUGGGUGUAAAGGGAGCGCAGACGGCAGUGCAAGUCUGGAGUGAAAGCCCGUGGCUUAACCACGGGACUGCUCUGGAAACUGUGCAGCUAGAGUGCAGGAGAGGCAGGCGGAAUUCCUAGUGUAGCGGUGAAAUGCGUAGAUAUUAGGAGGAACACCGGUGGCGAAGGCGGCCUGCUGGACUGUAACUGACGUUGAGGCUCGAAAGCGUGGGGAGCAAACAGGAUUAGAUACCCUGGUAGUCCACGCCGUAAACGAUGAUUACUAGGUGUCGGGGGACGAUAGUGCUCCGGUGCCGGCG